rnacentral:rRNA from 1 species
UUAAAUUGAAGAGUUUGAUCAUGGCUCAGAUUGAACGCUGGCGGCAGGCCUAACACAUGCAAGUCGAGCGGUAGCACAGAGAGCUUGCUCUCAGG